rnacentral:rRNA from 1 species
CAAUAAGCUAAAUAAGGGCGUAUGGAGGAUGCCUAGGCUUUCAGAGGCGAAGAAGGACGCGAUAAGCUGCGAUAAGUUACGGGGAGAAGCACAUAUUUUAUGAUCCGUAAAUUUCCGAAUGGGGCAACCCAGCAUGUUGAAGACAUGUUACCCGCAAGGGGGCAAACCUGGUGAACUGAAACAUCUAAGUAACCAGAGGAAGAGAAAACAAAAGUGAUUCCGUUAGUAGUGGCGAGCGAACGCGGAUUAGCCCAAACCAAUAUUGUUACGGCAAUAUUGGGGUUGUAGGGCUGCGACAUUAGAAUCUAAGAGAACUGGAAUCGUUUGGAAAGACGAACCGAAGAGAGUGAUAGUCUCGUACAGGUAAUCGAAGAGGAUAUAGCAGUACCCUGAGUAGUGCGGGACACGAGUAAUCCUGUAUGAAUCCACCGGGACCAUCCGGUAAGGCUAAAUACUCCUGAAAGACCGAUAGUGAACUAGUACCGUGAGGGAAAGGUGAAAAGAACCCUAAGUAAGGGAGUGAAAGAGAACCUGAAACCGUACGCCUACAAGCGGUCGAAGCACAUUUACUGUGUGACGGCGUGCCUUUUGCAUAAUGAGCCUACGAGUUACUGUUGCUAGCAAGGUUAAACAUUUAAGGUGUGGAGCCGAAGCGAAAGCGAGUCUGAAUAGGGCGCUAUAGUUAGUAGUAGUAGACGCGAAACCGAGUGAUCUACCCAUGGGCAGGUUGAAGCUGUGGUAACACACAGUGGAGGACCGAACCAGUUGACGUUGAAAAGUCUUUGGAUGACCUGUGGGUAGGGGUGAAAGGCCAAUCAAACUCGGAAAUAGCUCGUACUCCCCGAAAUGCAUUUAGGUGCAGCGUUGAGACAAAGUUUUAUAGAGGUAGAGCUACUGAUUGGAUGCGGGGGCUUCACCGCCUACCAAUUCCUGACAAACUCCGAAUGCUAUAAAAUGUUUCUCAGCAGUGAGGGCAUGGGUGCUAAGGUCCAUGUCCGAGAGGGAAAGAACCCAGACCAUCAGCUAAGGUCCCCAAAUAUAUGUUAAGUUGAAAAAACGAGGUUUGACUGCCCAGACAGCUAGGAUGUUGGCUUGGAAGCAGCCAUUCAUUUAAAGAGUGCGUAACAGCUCACUAGUCGAGCGGUCGAGCAUGGAUAAUAAUCGGGCAUAAACAUAUUACCGAAGCUAUGGACUUAUUAAAGUGGUAGGGGAGCAUUCUAUAUGUGCUGAAGGUGUGCUGUAAGGCAUGCUGGAACGUAUAGAAAAGAAAAUGUAGGCAUAAGUAACGAUAAAGGGGGCGAGAAACCCCCUCACCGAAAGACUAAGGUUUCCUCAGCGAUGCUAAUCAGCUGAGGGUUAGUCGGGACCUAAGGCGAAUCCGAAGGGAGUAGUCGAUGGCCAACAGGUUAAUAUUCCUGUACUUCUUAUAAUUGCGAUGGGGUGACGGAGUAAUGAAAGCACCGCGAACUGACGGAAUAGUUCGUUGAAACAUUUAGGUAUUGGAACUGUAGGAAAAUCCGCAGAUCUAGCUGAAGUGUGAUAGUACCACAAGUCUUCGGAUGCGUGGAUAGUGUGCCUAAAGGCUUCCAAGAAAAACCUCUAAGCUUCAGAUUAUAAGAACCCGUACCGUAAACCGACACAGGUAGUUGGGAUGAGAAUUCUAAGGUGCUCGAGAGAUUCAUGGCUAAGGAACUAGGCAAAAUAGACUCGUAACUUCGGGAGAAGAGUCGCCAACAGCAAUGUUGGCCGCAGUGAAAAGAUCCAGGCGACUGUUUAUCAAAAACACAGGGCUUUGCUAAAUUGAAAGAUGAUGUAUAAGGCCUGACACCUGCCCGGUGCUGGAAGGUUAAGUGGAGUUGUUAGCUUCGGCGAAGCAAUCAAAUGAAGCCCCAGUAAACGGCGGCCGUAACUAUAACGGUCCUAAGGUAGCGAAAUUCCUUGUCGGGUAAGUUCCGACCUGCACGAAUGGUGCAACGAUCUGGAUACUGUCUCAGCCAUGAGCUCGGUGAAAUUGUAGUAUCGGUGAAGAUGCCGAUUACCCGCAGCGGGACGAAAAGACCCCGUGAACCUUUACUAUAGCUUCGUAUUGACUUUGGAUAAGUAAUGUGUAGGAUAGGUGGGAGACUAUGAAGUGGCGUCGCUAGGCGUUGUGGAGUCGUCCUUGAAAUACCACCCUUUGCUUAUCUAGAGCCUAACUCAGCAAUGAGAACAGUGCGUGGUGGGUAGUUUGACUGGGGUGGUCGCCUCCAAAAGAGUAACGGAGGCUUCUAAAGGUUCCCUCAGCACG